rnacentral:rRNA from 1 species
UACGUAGGGGGCUAGCGUUGUCCGGAUUUAUUGGGCGUAAAGAGCGUGUAGGCGGCCAGGUAGGUCUGCUGUGAAAACUCGAGGCUCAACCUCGAGACGUCGGCGGAAACCAUCUGGCUAGAGUCCGGAAGAGGAGAGUGGAAUUCCUGGUGUAGCGGUGAAAUGCGCAGAUAUCAGGAGGAACACCGGUGGCGAAGGCGGCGUUCUGGACUGUUUCUGACACUGAAAAACGAAAGCCAGGGGAGCAAACGGG